AAUACAGUAGGGCACAGUCGACAGUGACAAUUUUCGGAUAAACUUCCUGGUUUUUGUCAAAGGGGCAGAACCUACUACCUGGUAGUUUCAAUGAUGAACUAUCAUGAUAUAGGGCUAAAAGAUGGAUGUGCCAAAUCCACCUCAUGAAAAACAGAUUGGGCAAAAGUGGAGUGCGAACACUAAAUGAUGUGCUGCUAAAUAGCAGAUCUUUACAAGUGAAUUUGGAAAAUCCUGAUGCAACCUGAGCUUACCAAGUUUACUGACAGUUUGGACUCUGUGUGGAUGAUAAAAUGGACAAUAUAUUGUGUUCAUGUUGUGUUGUGAUUGACUUUUUUUAACAGAUAAGAUUUUUUAAUCCAGACUUAACAGGUGAUUUUCUUCAAAGAAUAAAUACAAUACUUUUUUUAUUGAUGUGCAUGAAUUUGAGUACAAAAUAUCAACAAUGUGUAUCCUGUGUUGUUUUUCCAAUCAGUCUGUCAUCCAUAGGUAAUAUAUUAAGUAUGA